rnacentral:misc_RNA from 1 species
GCAAACUUGGUCAUUUAGAGGAAGUAAAAGUCGUAACAAGGUCUCCGUAGGUGAACCUGCGGAGGGAUCAUUACAGAAGUUGUUUCUAACAACGUUAACCCAUGUGAACAUACCUUUGUUGCCUCGGUCGGACUGCUGCGGCAGCCUACCCUGGAGCCAGCCGAGGGGUCUUACCCUGGAGCUGGCCUCGGGCGCGGCCUACCCUGUAGCCGGCCGGUGGCCCAAACUAAACUCUUGAAUCUCUGAGUAUCUCUGAGCGUCUUGAUUAAUAAGUCAAAACUUUCAACAACGGAUCUCUUGGUUCUGGCAUCGAUGAAGAACGCAGC